GAGAUCUGUUGCGCGCAUCUCAGGCAUUGCGCUGAACAAUCUGCCUGACUCAAGGUUGGCAAGCUCAGCAUCAACACCAAAAUAUACCACUCCAUAAUUUACAGGGAUUCCUGUGGUACGAGAGAAGAACACAUAAAAGAAGUGCAGGCUUUAAGUACACUAUCUUCCUCACAGGAUCCACUUUAUCUUCUCUGCUGGGAGGUUUUUCAAGAAUUCAUCACUGAUGUUUGAGGUAAUACCUGAGACUCAAAGCUGGAACAUUCUUCCACACAAUCCUGGAGGAGGCGGUCCGGAUAGAAGUGUGUUGUGUACCGGGUCUGUUCGACAUCUCUUCUCUGAUGACAAGGGCGGGGCAACCUGUCACUCACAUGAGAUCCACCAAUAGCAAACCACAACCAUCCAAUCAAUUUCCCAUGGACAAAAUCAAGCCCCGCCCUACAUUUGUUCUUGUUUGAGAAGCAGUUUUACUCGGAUAUACAUCACAAUAGAGAAGAAAAGACUGUUCCUGUUUCAUUCCAAAGAGCAGCAACAGUAUUAGAGAUGCUGCAAAGAAAGGCUGGAUAUUUGCAAAAUAAAACAUGCAGUCAUUUUCACAGCUCAUUCCAAUACAUUAAUAGAAGAAUUGGGUGUGCAAAGAGGUAAAAUGAAGCAAAGGACAAACUUUUGACGCAAAGAGCUCCUGAUAAACGUGCUGACAGCUUUAUCGGCUUGUCCUUUAGUCCUUAAACUUAUCCUUCAGUGAGCAUGCCCAUGCAGUAACAUUGAAAAAAAUCAUAAAUAUAAAGAUGUUUGACGUGUUUCUGUGUGAGCGAGAGUCUGAAUAGCUCUUAUUUUCACGCUUGGAAUUAGUAGCCUACAGUAGAAAAUGACCUUGGUCUCCAAAGAUACGGCAGAAAAAAAAAAUCAAGCGUGUUAGUGACUAAGACGGAUUGACUUCCAAGUCAUCUAAUCAGAACUUGAAACAGAGAUUCAAAGCCUCUGCUUCUGACUGAUCUGCUUGGUCUCACUAAAUAUCAUUCAGCGCUGGAGAAAAUAUUCAGAUAUAUAUUACACUGGGAAAAAAUAUAUUUGCUGUAUAUUCAAUACUUAAUUAAAAUGAGCUUAAGCAACUCAA